CCCCGAUGCAGCAGCCGCUGCGCGCGCGCUCUGGCAGCCCCCUUGCAAGCGGACUAGCGAGGCCCCUGCGUCCCACUGCGCGCGAGCAGAGAGUGAGGCCGAGGUAGCGAAAGUUAGGAGCACGCGUGGAGCAAGGCUGGCAGCCUCGCGGCUGGGUUUGGGCUGGAACGUGUUUUAUGGCGUGCCUGGCCUGCACGCUUAUUGAUGUUCCGCAGUCCUUGGUAUCAGCACUGUGUCCCCGGGAAACCACGAACCGGCAACUCUGGGCUCUUUGUGCCUCACGGUUCCAGCCUAAGACUGCAUGCUCCAGGCUGCACGGGAGAACUUCGUUUUCAGCCGAAGCGGAGCAGGCUGGCUCGUGAAGUGGAUUUCCACUGCCUUUCGAUGCAUUCUGAAUCAUAAAACCCCAAAUAAAGACAUUUGUCAGGAUUAUUCAAUUGACUCAUCAAUUUAUGACAAGCUCAGCUUUAGUCAACUGCAGAUCUAAGGACUGAUAGCCGCGGAGACAUUGAAGGAAGAUCCUCUUAUCAAAUUAUACAAGAUGAAACAAGAACAAGUGCAUUGCCGAGUCUCUGAUGUUGGGGACCAUGGCUGCUGCU